UAACAGAAAAUAAACUUUUUUUUCCUCAUUUUUUGGACUAUAUUUACAAGAAAAAAAAACGUACAGGGUCAAAGUAACAAAAGAAUUUUAAGACAGUUACAAAUCUAAAAUCUAAAUACAGUUCAAAAUGAAAGUACUCAUUGUUGCCUGUGUGACAGUUUUAACUAUUAUUUCCAUGGCUCAAGAAGCACUUGCCAACAAUCAAAAUCAAAAUCAACAAGACCAACAAAACUAAAAAAAAAUCAACUUUCAAACACCAUCUAUUGGUUUGUUAUUUUCAAUGACUUGAAAUGUAUUAAUAAAAGUUGCAACAAAUUAUAUAAAA